GGUAUAUAUACUGUGCUAUGUUCAGUUACAAUGUCUAUUAUUGACAGAGUGUUGACGGCAACAUGAAAGGAAUUAUCCUCUGUCUCGUCAUUGCAAGCGUGUUGGGCAUUGCCCUGACAACAGAGCCGGUGAUCACGUCCAGGUCCGCUUGUGACCCAUCGUCCAUCUGCCAACUUCAUGCCAACGCCAUUUGCAGCCUAGACUGCUGGGAUAAUGACUCCGAGUGUCUCGAGAGAUGGUUCGUCGAUGGAGAAAGGGUCUUUUGCGAUUUCAAAUAAUUCUGUCUGAGACAAAUAUUUGACAAUGCGCAAGUCCAUUGUGAACAGGAAUAAAAUUCUUUCAAACUA